rnacentral:rRNA from 1 species
AUUGAACGCUGGCGGCGUGCCUAACACAUGCAAGUCGAGCGGUAACAGGCGUAGCAAUACGUGCUGACGAGCGGCGGACGGGUGAGUAACGCUUAGGAAUCUACCUAGUAGUGGGGAACAACCCGGGGAACUCGGGCUAAUACCGCAUACGCCCUUCGGGGAAAGGACGGGGAGUCGCAAGACCUCGCGCUAUUGGAUGAG